rnacentral:rRNA from 1 species
GAUGAACGCUGGCGGUAUGCUUAACACAUGCAAGUCGAACGGACUCUUCGGAGUUAGUGGCGGACGGGUGAGUAACGCGUGAGAAUCUGGCUUUGGGUUCGGGACAACCACUGGAAACGGUGGCUAAUACCGGAUGUGCCAAGAGGUAAAAGAGAAAUUGCCUGAAGAUGAGCUCGCGUCUGAUUAGCUAGUUGGUGAGGUAAAGGCUCACCAAGGCAGCGAUCAGUAGCUGGUCUGAGAGGAUGACCAGCCACACUGGGACUGAGACACGGCCCAGACUCCUACGGGAGGCGGCAGUGGGGAAUUUUCCGCAAUGGGCGAAAGCCUGACGGAGCAAUACCGCGUGAGGGAAGAAGGCUCUUGGGUUGUAAACCUCUUUUCUUAGGGAAGAACAAAAUGACGGUACCUAAGGAAUCAGCAUCGGCUAACUCCGUG